UCCCCUGUUUUGUAAAAGAAACUCACCCCCUCCCCUGUCUUUUAACUUGUGCUUUCGUUUUCAAAACCCACAUGGAAACCCAUUUCCUAUUUCUUGUUUCUUCUUCGAUUAAAAACCUGCGACCCUCUUCUUUAGCUGAGUCUUUCGUUUUCUGUUAGUAAUCGAGUCUAGUCUGUUAUGCUUGUUGGUUGUCGUCUUUGUUUGCUUUCUUUCGAUUUCGUUUUCGCCGAGUCAAAUGCCUGAGUAGUCAGUCUGUUUCUGGAUUGUAUUUUGCCGAUUUGCAGCGUUUAUUUGUGUUGGUUUUGCUCAGCGUCGAGUCCUGUUGAAUGCUUGUUUUGUUGAGUAUGAGUCGUAGCUGAGUCGCCGAGUUCAGGUGGUCUGUCUUUGUCCUAGUCUGUCGAGUGUUUCAUUGCUUCCUGUAGUCGAGUUUUGGCACCGAGUCGUGUGUUUGCUGCUCCGAUUUGUUGAGGCUGCGUCUUUUGUUUAUGUCGAGUUAUUCUGGCUUAAGUUUGCUUUCUUUCGUUAGUUUUUGUUGCUGGAUUCUACUAUCAGGUUUAUUAGUAUAGUUUUGUGUCUGAGUUAAUGCUGCUGUUGGGUGUUGGUUUAAUCUGGCUUCUUAAAUCGAGUCUAUUCUUGCUGUGUUUAAGUCGAGUAGCUGUUCAUUCGGCCGAGUUUGAUUUAUGCUGAGUUUUAAUAGGGUCAUUUGAUGCUGAGUUGUUUGGCUGCUCUUUUAUUUAGUAAGUUUGUAUUGCUUUCUUGAGUUUGUUUCUUUUCUUUUUGUCGUCUUCUUAUCAAGUCACCUCCUGGAAGUUUUCAUUUUCUUUUGUUUUUUUUGUGUUUUGCCGUAUGAUUGUUUCAUUUUCUGGUCAGUAAAGUAUGCUUAACUAAUUUUAGUUUAUUUAGUUAGUUAAUCUUGGUAAUAAAUUUUGGUUAACUACAUUAUUCUCGCACUUUAAUUUUAUAAAAAUUAGUUUUCAAAAUUAGUUUAAUAAGAAAACCCCCCCAUUUUCAAAACUUAAAAUUCCUAAUUCACCUAGGUUAAUAAUAAAAGGAUUUGUGAAAGUUAAUUUUAAUCUCUGUGGAUCGAAUUAUAAAUAUUAAAACGGUGAUCGUGCGCUUGCGAUUAAUAAAUGUAAUAUUUCAAGCACAUCAGUCAUAUCUUUCUUUAAGAAUUUGGUCUUAAAUAUAGGUCUUAAUCUGUGAUUUUGUUCGGAUUGUAUUAAUUAUAUUAGUUUGGUUCACUAUAAUUUAAAUAUUAUUAUAUAUAUAAUUAUUAUCAAUUAAAUAUAUUAUUUUAAUAUGAUAACAAAUUAUAUAGAUUGGUUAAAUAUGAUUAGAUGUUUAUAGUCAAUCUACGCAACUUUAAGAUGUUGGCUAAAAUUAUAUACAACACCAUUAUUUUCACUAGAAGUUCAAUCUUUUUUACCUAAUCUUCAUACUUAUUAUUUAUAACAUGUAUAAAUUAUAUUUAACUAAGAAUUUUACAAAGUUCUAAUUUUUACCUAUGAAAAAGAGAUCAAUACCACUGAGAUCUUUUCUUUUGUCUCAUUUCUUACAUUAAUAUAAUUUUUAAUACUAUUUUUAUAAGAUCUUAAUACAUGUCAUAUCUUUCUUUAAGAACGUGGUCUUAAAUAUAAGUCUUAAUCUGUGAUUUUAGUUUUACAAGGGUACAUUUGUUAAAUGUUAUACGGAAAAAUAAUGCAUACUAGCUUGAAGUAGGUUGAAACAAGGAGAGUAUAGGUUGAAAUAAUGCGGUUGUGCUAGAAAUUGAAAUGCUGUUGGUUUGUAACGGUGUCAAUGCAUUCAUGAGUUUAUUUAUGUACCUUGCAGGAAUGCUGUACCUUGUAGGAAUGUAUGUACUUAAUUAGCAAAUUGACGUGUAGUUUUGUAGGAUGGUAAAAGCAUCAUUUUGCUAGCUAGCUAGCUGUCUGUUUCUAAUUAGAUGAAAAGAAAUCUGAAUGUUUAGCUUCUUAGCUUUUGUCAAAGAAUAUGAAUGCCGCACCACCAAGUUGUAUGUUGCCUUAUUUAGACAAGACAAUUUGCAAGACUGCAGGGAAUAUUGCAAAGCCUAUUAUCGCUGAACAAAUUCCGAAGUAUAUAAUCGAGGCAUAAGACCUUAUGCAUGGCUGUAUGUAAUGCCAAAUAAAAUAGAAUAUUGCAAAUAUUUGAAGAAAUAAAAGAAUAAAGCAAAAUGGAGAAAAAGAUGGGAAGAAAAAGAUCAGGGGAAUAUUCUCAAGGAAGCAUCUAGAUGGGACACCUACACCCCUCUCUACCCUAAUUUCCCCCUAUAAAUACACAUCUCCCCAUCAUGUUUCAACUUACCUAGGAUUUUCUCUUUUUAGUAGGCUUCUUUUUCUAGUCUAGAUCUAGUUUUAAUUUGUAUGCUCUCUCCCCCUUUUGUAAACACAUUUUAAUAUUUUAAU